CUCAAAUCAGGUGGGACUACCCGCUGAACUUAAGCAUAUCAAUAAGCGGAGGAAAAGAAACUAACAAGGAUUCCCCUAGUAACUGCGAGUGAAGCGGGAAGAGCUCAAAUUUAAAAUCUGGCAGUUUUUGAAGCUGUCCGAGUUGUAAUUUAGAGAAGU
rnacentral:rRNA from 1 species